UGUUUUACUGUUAAAAAAAACCACUAUUGCCUAAUUUACUAUAUGAAUUUCCCCUAAUUUUGUCCACUGCCUUUGAAUGUAAGACUCUGUGGUAAUAAUGUUUUGGUCACUUAGUGGUUAAACUACGAGUUACUUUACUACAUUUGAUUCACCUCUGCAGGUGUGGUGGUUUUC